AGAGCGAACGCUGGCGGCAGGCCUAAUACAUGCAAGUCGAACGGAUCCUUCGGGAUUAGUGGCGGACGGGUGAGUAACACGUGGGAACGUGCCCUUUGGUUCGGAACAACUCAGGGAAACUUGAGCUAAUACCGAAUGUGCCCUUCGGGGGAAAGAUUUAUCGCCAUUGGAGCGGCCCGCGUCUGAUUAGCUAGUUGGUGAGGUAAAGGCUCACCAAGGCGACGAUCAGUAGCUGGUCUGAGAGGACGAUCAGCCACACUGGGAUUGAGAACGGCCCAGACUCCUACGGGGGGCAGCAGUGAGGAAUUUUCGUCAAUGGGGCAACCCUGAACGAGCAACGCCGCGUGCAGGAGAAGGUUUUCGGAUCGUAAACUGCUUUUCUCGGGGAAGAGAACGGACGGUACCCGAGGAAUCAGCCCCGGCUAACUACGUGCCAGCAGCCGC
rnacentral:rRNA from 1 species